rnacentral:rRNA from 1 species
UACGUAGGGUGCGAGCGUUGUCCGGAAUUAUUGGGCGUAAAGGGCUCGUAGGCGGUUUGUCGCGUCGAAAGUGAAACUCCGAGGCUCAACCUCGGAACUGCUUUCGAUACGGGCAGACUAGAGGUAGGCAGGGGAGAGUGGAACUCCAGGUGUAGCGGUGGAAUGCGCAGAUAUCUGGAAGAACACCGGUGGCGAAGGCGGCUCUCUGGGCCUUACCUGACGCUGAGGAGCGAAAGCGUGGGUAGCGAACAGG